GCUCAGGACGAACGCUGGCGGCGUGCCUAAUACAUGCAAGUCGAGCGGACAGAAGGGAGCUUGCUCCCGGAUGUUAGCGGCGGACGGGUGAGUAACACGUGGGUAACCUGCCUGUAAGACUGGGAUAACUCCGGGAAACCGGAGCUAAUACCGGAUAGUUCCUUGAACCGCAUGGUUCAAGGAUGAAAGACGGUUUCGGCUGUCACUUACAGAUGGACCCGCGGCGCAUUAGCUAGUUGGUGGGGUAAUGGCUCACCAAGGCGACGAUGCGUAGCCGACCUGAGAGGGUGAUCGGCCACACUGGGACUGAGACACGGCCCAGACUCCUACGGGAGGCAGCAGUAGGGAAUCUUCCGCAAUGGACGAAAGUCUGACGGAGCAACGCCGCGUGAGUGAUGAAGGUUUUCGGAUCGUAAAGCUCUGUUGUUAGGGAAGAACAAGUGCGAGAGUAACUGCUCGCACCUUGACGGUACCUAACCAGAAAGCCACGGCUAACUACGUGCCAGCAGCCGCGGUAAUACGUAGGUGGCAAGCGUUGUCCGGAAUUAUUGGGCGUAAAGGGCUCGCAGGCGGUUUCUUAAGUCUGAUGUGAAAGCCCCCGGCUCAACCGGGGAGGGUCAUUGGAAACUGGGAAACUUGAGUGCAGAAGAGGAGAGUGGAAUUCCACGUGUAGCGGUGAAAUGCGUAGAGAUGUGGAGGAACACCAGUGGCGAAGGCGACUCUCUGGUCUGUAACUGACGCUGAGGAGCGAAAGCGUGGGGAGCGAACAGGAUUAGAUACCCUGGUAGUCCACGCCGUAAACGAUGAGUGCUAAGUGUUAGGGGGUUUCCGCCCCUUAGUGCUGCAGCUAACGCAUUAAGCACUCCGCCUGGGGAGUACGGUCGCAAGACUGAAACUCAAAGGAAUUGACGGGGGCCCGCACAAGCGGUGGAGCAUGUGGUUUAAUUCGAAGCAACGCGAAGAACCUUACCAGGUCUUGACAUCCUCUGACAACCCUAGAGAUAGGGCUUUCCCUUCGGGGACAGAGUGACAGGUGGUGCAUGGUUGUCGUCAGCUCGUGUCGUGAGAUGUUGGGUUAAGUCCCGCAACGAGCGCAACCCUUGAUCUUAGUUGCCAGCAUUCAGUUGGGCACUCUAAGGUGACUGCCGGUGACAAACCGGAGGAAGGUGGGGAUGACGUCAAAUCAUCAUGCCCCUUAUGACCUGGGCUACACACGUGCUACAAUGGACAGAACAAAGGGCUGCAAGACCGCAAGGUUUAGCCAAUCCCAUAAAUCUGUUCUCAGUUCGGAUCGCAGUCUGCAACUCGACUGCGUGAAGCUGGAAUCGCUAGUAAUCGCGGAUCAGCAUGCCGCGGUGAAUACGUUCCCGGGCCUUGUACACACCGCCCGUCACACCACGAGAGUUUGCAACACCCGAAGUCGGUGAGGUAACCUUUAUGGAGCCAGCCGCCGAAGGUGGGGCAGAUGAUUGGGGUGAAGUCGUAAAAGGGGAAACCAAAACUUAUCCCAAGCCCAAACGGGA
rnacentral:rRNA from 1 species